AAACAUAUUACAAACUAACAAUCACACAUCACAAUAAAAAGGAACAAGUAAAUUCGACAUAAAUUGCACAAUCAAACACAACUAUUAAACAUUACUUUCCAAAAAUUGCGCAUAACAAUUUCCAGGAUUAGUGUCCAUCUUAGACAAUAACCUAUCACACACUUCCAUAUUGCUUCCAUUCACAAAUGUAUGCCAACCCUGCCUAUGAAUUUCUUCAACAAAUCACCAUCUUCGAGUACAAUGUAACAGUAAAACAAAUCCACUGUUUCUUCUUCAUAAUCAAGUAAAUUCAAUGUCAAAGUCUCUUGAGUUGGAUUAUAACGAUCUCCUACUAUAUGAUUGGGAAUUCAAUGCAAUUUUUUUUAAAUCAAGUAGUAUAUUAACAAUAUUUAAUAUAUUUUCAUAUAACUAUUUGUAUUUUAAAAAAAUCGAAUUUGCUCACAAGCUUAUGGGUUGGACGCAAAUGGUCAUGGUUCACAAGAAUCUCCCAAAAAUUAUUACGAACAUUCAAACAUGGAGGUACCUCAACUGGUAUACGGUAAUAAUAUUCAAGCUUAUGCUCAUCUUUGGAACCUGAACCAGAUCCAACUCCAUCAACAACUUUUGGCUCACUGCAUAGUUCAUUUCAUAAAACCAAAUUAACAUAUGAUUUUUACAUUUACUAACUAAUAUAAGUGAUGUGUUUUAGGAUUUUACCUUUUUUCUGUUGACAUCUUCAAGCAACAAAAUUUCAGAUAUAAUACACAGACUCAAGCUUUUGCCAAAUCCA
rnacentral:lncRNA from 1 species